rnacentral:rRNA from 1 species
AAUGGGGGCAACCCUGAUCUAGCCAUGCCGCGUGUGUGAUGAAGGCCUUAGGGUCGUAAAGCACUUUCGCCAGGGAUGAUAAUGACAGUACCUGGUAAAGAAACCCCGGCUAACUCCGUGCCAGCAGCCGCGGUAAUACGGAGGGGGUUAGCGUUGUUCGGAAUUACUGGGCGUAAAGCGCGCGUAGGCGGACUAUUAAGUCAGAGGUGAAAUCCCGGGGCUCAACCCCGGAACUGCCUUUGAUACUGGUAGUCUUGAGGUCGAGAGAGGUGAGUGGAAUUCCGAGUGUAGAGGUGAAAUUCGUAGAUAUUCGGAGGAACACCAGUGGCGAAGGCGGCUCACUGGCUCGAUACUGACGCUGAGGUGCGAAAGCGUGGGGAGCAAACAGGAUU